rnacentral:rRNA from 1 species
AUUGAACGCUGGCGGCAGGCUUAACACAUGCAAGUCGAGCGGGGAAGGGUAGCUUGCUACCUGACCUAGCGGCGGACGGGUGAGUAAUGCUUAGGAAUCUGCCUAUUAGUGGGGGACAACAUUCCGAAAGGAAUGCUAAUACCGCAUACGCCCUACGGGGGAAAGCAGGGGAUCUUCGGACCUUGCGCUAAUAGAUGAGCCUAAGUCAGAUUAGCUAGUUGGUGGGGUAAAGGCCUACCAAGGCGACGAUCUGUAGCGGGUCUGAGAGGAUGAUCCGCCACACUGGGACUGAGACACGGCCCAGACUCCUACGGGAGGCAGCAGUGGGGAAUAUUGGACAAUGGGCGAAAGCCUGAUCCAGCCAUGCCGCGUGUGUGAAGAAGGCCUUUUGGUUGUAAAGCACUUUAAGCGAGGAGGAGGCUACCGAGAUUAAUACUCUUGGAUAGUGGACGUUACUCGCAGAAUAAGCACCGGCUAACUCUGUGCCAGCAGCCGCCGUAA